rnacentral:rRNA from 1 species
AAAGAAAGUAAGCAAGGGCGCAUGGCGGAUGCCUUGGCUCUCGGAGGCGAUGAAGGACGUGAUAAGCUGCGAUAAGCUUCGGGCAGGUGCAAAUAACCUUUGAUCCGAAGAUUUCCGAAUGGGACAACCCGUCAUUCUGAAGGAAUGACAUCUUGCAUAGCAAGAGGCUAACGCAGGGAACUGAAACAUCUUAGUACCUGUAGGAAAAGAAAAUAAUAAUGAUUCCCCUAGUAGUGGCGAGCGAACGGGGAUUAGCCCAAACCAAUGUUGUUACGGCAAUAUUGGGGUUGUAGGACCACGAUGUCGCAAGAAAUUUAGUGAGAAGAACCCUUUGGAAAAUGGGACCAUAGACGGUGAUAGUCCGGUAUUCGAAGCUAAAUGAAGCGUAGUGGUAUCCUGAGUAGCGCGGGACACGAGGAAUCUUGCGUGAAUCUGCCGGGACCAUCCGGUAAGGCUAAAUACUCCCGAGAGACCGAUAGCGAACCAGUACUGUGAAGGAAAGGUGAAAAGCACUUCGAAUAGAAGAGUGAAAUAGUCCCUGAAACCGUGCGCCUACAAGCGGUCGGAGCUGCUUCAGCAGUGACGGCGUGCCUUUUGCAUAAUGAACCUACGAGUUACUUUUUCCGGCAAGGUUAAGGAUCUUGAGAUCCGCAGCCGAAGCGAAAGCGAGUCUUAACAGGGCGAUUAGUCGGAAGGAGUAGACGCGAAACCAAGUGAUCUACCCUUGGUCAGG